AUAAUAGACAAGCUUUGCAAAAGAAGGCUGAAAUGUGCAAAUGGAAUUGUAUUUUGAUGUAGUAAUCUAGGGCUGUCCAGUGUUCAAAACUAGUUUCUAGGUAUGCGAUGUGCAUCACAUCUUCAUAACAUGCUGAUGGAAGGAGGCUGGGGUAAUGUGUAUGGGAAUUCCCUAACUAGACAACAUCUACAGUUAAAGGGAAGAAAAAUACAAAAACAGAC